UACAGAGGGUGCGAGCGUUAAUCGGAAUUACUGGGCGUAAAGCGCGCGUAGGCGGCUUUGCAAGUCGGGUGUGAAAUCCCCAGGCUUAACCUGGGAACUGCAUUCGAGACUGCAUUGCUAGAGUAUGGGAGAGGGAAGUGGAAUUUCCGGUGUAGCGGUGAAAUGCGUAGAUAUCGGAAGGAACAUCAGUGGCGAAAGCGACUUCCUGGACCAAUACUGACGCUCAUGUGCGAAAGCGUGGGGAGCAAACAGGAUUGAGAUACC
rnacentral:rRNA from 1 species